rnacentral:rRNA from 1 species
AACGAACGCUGGCGGCAGGCCUAACACAUGCAAGUCGAACGCCCGCAAGGGAGUGGCAGACGGGUGAGUAACGCGUGGGAACGUGCCUUCGGUUCGGAAUAACUCAGGGAAACUUGAGCUAAUACCGGAUACGUCCGUAAGGAGAAAGAUUUAUCGCCGAAGGAUCGGCCCGCGUCGGAUUAGCUAGUUGGUGAGGUAACGGCCCACCAAGGCGACGAUCCGUAGCUGGUCUGAGAGGANGAUCAGCCACACUGGGACUGAGACACGGCCCAGACUCCUACGGGAGGCAGCAGUGGGGAAUAUUGGACAAUGGGCGAAAGCCUGAUCCAGCCAUGCCGCGUGAGUGAAGAAGGCCUUUAGGG